UGAGGAAUAUUGGUCAAUGGACGGAAGUCUGAACCAGCCAUGCCGCGUGGAGGAAGAAGGUCCUAUGGGUUGUAAACUCCUUUUGUCCGAGAGUAAUAAGGUCUUUGCGAAGACCGAUGAGAGUAUCGGGCGAAUAAGCAUCGGCUAACUCCGUGCCAGCAGCCGCGGUAAUACGGAGGAUGCAAGCGUUAUCCGGAUUUAUUGGGUUUAAAGGGUGCGCAGGCGGGCUGUUAAGUCAGCGGUGAAAUCUCCCGGCUCAACCGGGGAACUGCCGUUGAUACUGGCAGCCUAGAGUACAGACGGCGCCGGCGGAAUGUGUCAUGUAGCGGUGAAAUGCUUAGAUAUGCCACAGAACACCGAUCGCGAAGGCAGCUGGCGAGGCUGGGACUGACGCUCAGGCACGAAAGCGUGGGGAUCAAACAGG
rnacentral:rRNA from 1 species